rnacentral:hammerhead_ribozyme from 1 species
AUACAGGUGACAUGUCCCAAAUAGGACGAAAUGCGCAUCCUGGAU